AUGAAGACGACAGGAGGGGGCAGCGGACAACCAGCCAUGUCCGGACUUGUGUUCUUCCUCUUCCUCUUUUCCCUCUUCACUGCCGCUGCCUCGACGACCAAGCAAAGCCAGGUCUAUAUAGUGUAUCUGGGCGAGCACGCCGGAGCCAAGUCGAAGGGAACCAUCCUUGAUGAUCACCAUGCCCUCCUCCUCUCCGUCAAGGGCAGCGAGGAGGAGGCACGGGCGUCGCUGCUGUACAGCUACAAGCACAGCCUGAAUGGCUUCGCGGCCCUUCUCUCGGACGACCAAGCCACAAAGCUUUCAGAGAGGACUGAGGUAGUGUCUGCCUUCCGGAGCGACGGGAGGUGGUCCCCGCACACCACGAGGUCUUGGGAGUUUGUGGGUUUGGAGGAAGGGCUCAGCAAGGGCUGGCUGCCGUCCGGCGCUCACGCCGGCGAGAAUGUCAUCGUAGGCAUGCUGGACUCCGGGAUCUGGCCGGAGUGGAGGAGCUUCAGCGACGAGGGGCUAGGGCCAGUGCCCGCGCGGUGGAAGGGAGUGUGUCAAGGAGGAGAUUCCUUCAAUUCCUCCUCUUGCAACAGGAAGGUCAUCGGCGCGCGGUACUACCUCAAGGCCUACGAGGCCCAGCACGGCAGGCUGAACACCACGAACGAGUGCCGCUCGCCGCGCGACCACGACGGCCACGGCACCCACACCGCGUCCACCGUCGCGGGCCGCGCCGUGCCGGGCGUGGCGGCGCUCGGGGGGUUCGCUGCCGGCACGGCCUCGGGCGGGGCGCCGCUCGCCCGCCUCGCCAUCUACAAGGUGUGCUGGCCCAUACCGGGGCCCAACCCCAGCAUCGAGAACACAUGCUUCGACGCCGACAUGCUCGCGGCCAUGGACGACGCGGUCGGCGACGGCGUCGACGUGAUGAGCGUCUCCAUCGUGUCCUCCGGAAAGCAGCCACGGCUACCGGACGACGGCAUCGCCGUCGGCGCGCUGCACGCCGCCAGGCGCGGCGUGGUUGUCGUGUGCAGCGGUGGGAACUCUGGCCCCGCGCCGGCCACUGUGUCGAACCUUGCGCCGUGGAUACUCACGGUCGGCGCCAGCAGCAUCGACCGCUCUUUCAACUCGCCCAUCAGGCUUGGUAAUGGCAUGGUGAUCAUGGUGCGAGGCAAAAUCGUGGUGUGCUUGAGGGGGAGCGGUCUGAGGGUGGGCAAAGGCCUGGAGGUGAAGCGGGCGGGCGGCGCGGCGAUCGUGCUCGGCAACCCGCCGAUGUACGGCAGCGAGGUGCCCGUCGACGCGCACGUGCUCCCCGGAACGGCAGUCUCCAUGGCCGACGUCGACACCAUACUCAGCUACAUUAAUUCCAGCACGAACCCAGCCGCUUACCUGGAGCGCUCGAGGACAGUCGUGGACGUCAAGCCGUCGCCGGUGAUGGCGCAGUUCUCGUCGCGUGGACCCAACGUCCUCGAGCCCAGCAUCCUCAAGCCUGACGUGACGGCGCCAGGCCUGAACAUCCUGGCGGCGUGGAGCGAGUCGUCGUCGCCCACAAAGCUCGACGGCGACAAUCGCGUGGUGAAGUACAACAUCAUCUCCGGGACAUCGAUGUCGUGCCCGCACGUCUCCGCCACCGCCGUCCUCCUCAAGUCUGCCCACCCCGACUGGAGCGCCGCCGCAAUCCGGUCAGCCAUCAUGACCACCGCAACGACUAACAACGCGGAAGGCGGCCCAAUAACGAACGCUGACGGAACCGUGGCGGGGCCCAUGGACUACGGCUCGGGCCACAUCAGGCCCAAGCACGCGAUGGACCCGGGCCUGGUUUACGACGCGUCCUUCCAGGACUACCUCCUCUACGCCUGCGCGAGCGGCGGCGCGCAGCUGGACCGCUCGUUCCCGUGCCCGGCGAGCCCGCCGCGUCCGCACGAGCUCAACUACCCUUCCGUCGCCAUCCACGGCCUCAACGGGUCCACCACCGUGCACCGGACGGUGACCAACGUCGGCGAGCCUGGGGCGCAUUACAGCGUCGCUGUGGUCGAGCCCAUGGGCUUCUCCGUGAAGGUCUCGCCGACGAGCCUCGCCUUCGCACGCACCGGAGAGAAGAAGACCUUCACGAUAAAGAUCGCAGCGACCGGGAAGAGAAGUCGGCGUAUGAAGAGGAAAUAUCUUGCAGGCUCGUACACGUGGAGCGACGAAGUCCACGCUGUGAGGAGCCCCGUCGUUGUUCUCGUCGCGUGA
rnacentral:rRNA from 1 species